GCUUACCAUGCAGUCGAGCGGUAAGGCCCUUUCGGGGGUACACGAGCGGCGAACGGGUGAGUAACACGUGGGUGACCUGCCCUCCACUCUGGGAUAAGCCCGGGAAACUGGGUCUAAUACCGGAUAGGACCACUGAUCGCAUGGUUGGUGGUGGAAAGUUUUUUCGGUGGGGGAUGGGCCCGCGGCCUAUCAGCUUGUUGGUGGGGUGAUGGCCUACCAAGGCGGUGACGGGUAGCCGGCCUGAGAGGGCGACCGGCCACACUGGGACUGAGACACGGCCCAGACUCCUACGGGAGGCAGCAGUGGGGAAUAUUGCGCAAUGGGCGGAAGCCUGACGCAGCGACGCCGCGUGGGGGAUGACGGCCUUCGGGUUGUAAACCUCUUUCGCCAGGGACGAAGAGCAAUUGACGGUACCUGGAGAAGAAGCACCGGCCAACUACGUGCCAGCAGCCGCGGUAACACGUAGGGUGCGAGCGUUGUCCGGAAUUAUUGGGCGUAAAGAGCUCGUAGGCGGUGUGUCGCGUCGGCCGUGAAAACUUGGGGCUUAACUCUGAGCGUGCGGUCGAUACGGGCAUCACUUGAGUUCGGCAGGGGAGACUGGAAUUCCUGGUGUAGCGGUGAAAUGCGCAGAUAUCAGGAGGAACACCGGUGGCGAAGGCGGGUCUCUGGGCCGAUACUGACGCUGAGGAGCGAAAGCGUGGGGAGCGAACAGGAUUAGAUACCCUGGUAGUCCACGCCGUAAACGUUGGGCGCUAGGUGUGGGGACCAUUCCACGGUUUCUGUGCCGCAGCUAACGCAUUAAGC
rnacentral:rRNA from 1 species